GUUCGGCGACCCGAUCGUAGGCGCCGGCGGCGGUGAUACCGUCGACUGGUCAGCAGACAAGAACCCUCCUCCUGCUGCUCUUCCUGACAGUGACGACGCGUCAUCUGCACGCAUGCUUGGCGUCCCUCGGUCAGCGAGGCGGACAUCUCUCCUGCCCGCACCCUCUGCUGCGACAGGGAGCUAGAUAGGAGCUUGACUUUAAAGGGCGAGUUCUGCGCCAGCACAUUCCACGGUCCUAAUUCUGAUCUUAAUGCUGAUGCUGAUCAGUGUUUUUUUUUUCGUUUUGGGCCUAGUACCCUAGAGUAAUAAACUGGGUGUUUCUUGCGGUUACGAUUCCUAUUUGUAUAGUCGCUGGGGGGGGCUGCUGCGCCCCCCCCAGACCCCCCCCUCAAAGGCCUUACGGUGUGCUGUAAGCAAUUCUUCUUCUAAGUGUUUGGGGCAUUGCGUCUGCGGCGUUUCUGAGCCGUUUGCUUUGGUCAAGAAUGAACGAAUGUCCCGUUGACCUAAGUUGAAUGCAACAGCGGGCCGUCUCAUGGUGAUAUCAUUAAAUAUCUUAUAUAUAAAUAGUGUAUAAGCUCCAAAUGGUCAGCUUUAUAUGUGCAGAAGGCAUUUGGGGCGACUUAUGGCCGAAGUAAUGAACCAGUACCCCAACUGACCCAACGAUUCCAUUUCUUCCAGGCUCAGACCCCCAUUUAUCCCCAAAAAAGUAAUAUAUUACCAAAAAAAACACUGAUGCUGAUAGGGCAUUUGCCGGGUUGAUGCAGGGCGGCGGUGU
rnacentral:lncRNA from 1 species